rnacentral:pre_miRNA from 1 species
CUCCCGCUGCAGGCUGGCCAUGCCCUCAGGCUGGGCUGGGCUGGGCGAGUAUCUUUUUGAAAGUCUCAUCCUCAACCACAACUAGGAGC